rnacentral:rRNA from 1 species
UACAGAGGUGGCAAGCGUUGUUCGGAAUUACUGGGCGUAAAGGGCGCGUAGGCGGUUCGUUAAGUCCUGUGUGAAAUCCCCCGGCUCAACUGGGGAACUGCAUCCGAUACUGGAUGGCUUGAAUCCGGGAGAGGGAUGCAGAAUUCCAGGUGUAGCGGUGAAAUGCGUAGAUAUCUGGAGGAAUACCGGUGGCGAAGGCGGCAUCCUGGACCGGCAUUGACGCUGAGGAGCGAAAGCUAGGGGAGCAAACGGG